CCCGUGAACCUUUACUAUAGCUUUGCACUGAACUUUGAACCUAUUUGUGUAGGAUAGGUGGGAGACGUUGAAACCGAGUCGCUAGAUUCGGUGGAGUCGACCUUGAAAUACCACCCUGGUAUGUUUGGAGUUCUAACCCAGGUCCGUAAGCCGGAUCGGGGACAGUGUAUGGUGGGUAGUUUGACUGGGGCGGUCUCCUCCCAAAGCGUAACGGAGGAGCACAAAGGUGGGCUAAGCAUGGUCGGACAUCAUGCGGUUAGUGUAAUGGCACAAGCCCGCUUAACUGCGA
rnacentral:rRNA from 1 species